rnacentral:rRNA from 1 species
AUACAGAGGGUGCAAGCGUUAAUCGGAAUUACUGGGCGUAAAGCGCGCGUAGGCGGUUUGUUAAGUUGGAUGUGAAAGCCCCGGGCUUAACCUGGGAGGGUCAUUCAAAACUGGCAGACUAGAGUGUGGUAGAGGGUAGUGGAAUCCCUAGUGUAGCGGUGAAAUGCGUAGAGAUUAGGAGGAACACCAGUGGCGAAGGCGACUGCCUGGACCAACACUGACGCUGAGGUGCGAAAGCGUGGGUAGCGAACAGGAUUAGAAACCCCGGUAGUCC